UAAAAUCACAAAUCAGACAUUGCGAAGAGCCCUAACCUCGCGCGCGCCUGAACCCCAACUGACGAACAGGUCCUCUGCCCUCUGGCCAUCGCCUCUCCGUUCGUCGGCGACUGUUACUGAGCUACGGCCUUUUGUUCUCUGUUCGUGGAAAGUAAACAAGUCUCAGAUCUGAUGCCUCUGUUGGUUCUCCAUACGUAGACAUUUGAAUCUUUUGUCCAGUUUUCAAUGGCAGACUCAAGCGAACCUCAACAACAGUCUGAAUCAGUCUGCAAUUUCUUCAGAAAGCCAGCAAAGAACAAAAAUAUCAGAAAACGUACAUUUGAUGAAGAUAACAAUGAAGAUGACGACUCUGGAAUUGGAAGUUCACUGCUACAAAAUAAGAAAAAGCCCCCAAGGCCUGACAAUAAGCUACAUUUCUCUACUGGAUCAUCCAAGCACUCGAUUUCCUCAGAGUUGAAUGCUGAGCCAAGUGCUCCAAUCUUUCAGUUUGAGUCCUCAAAAGAAAUCCAAGUUCAAAAUGAUAAUAAGGCAACUGCGACUCUGGAAACUGAAACUGAGUUCUCAAAAGAUGCUCGGGCAAUACGAGAGAGAGUUCUUAAGCGAGCGGAGGAGGCUUUAAAGGGGAAAAGCAAGAAUCCAGGGGAUGAAAAGUUGUAUAAAGGAAUUCAUGGGUAUACUGAUUAUAAAGCUGGCUUCAGAAGAGAACAAACAGUAUCUGCAGAGAAAGCUGGUGGUGCACAUGGACCUCUUAGGGCUUCUGCUCAUAUACGGGUCUCAGCUAGGUUUGACUACCAGCCAGAUAUUUGUAAGGAUUAUAAAGAGACUGGUUACUGUGGGUAUGGAGAUGCUUGUAAGUUUAUGCAUGACAGGGGGGAUUAUAAGUCAGGGUGGCAGUUAGAAAAGGAGUGGGAGGAAGCUGAAAAAGCAAGAAAGAGAAACUUGGCUUUGGGAGGUGAUGACAUGGAGGAGGAGGGUGCAGGUCAAAGUGAUGAAGAUGACGAUGAUCCAUUGCCCUUCGCAUGUUUCAUAUGUAGGCAGCCUUUUGUAGAUCCUGUUGUAACCAGAUGCAAACACUACUUUUGUGAGCAUUGUGCAUUAAAGCAUCACGCCAAGAACAAAAAAUGCUUCGUGUGCAACCAGCCCACCAUGGGCAUAUUCAACACCGCUCAUGAGAUAAAGAAAAGGAUGGCUGCUGCUGCUGCUGAGGGAAAGUAAUGCAUUUGGCUGACCAUAAAAUAAUAGCAUUUGGUUGUAAUGCAAUUGCAUCAUGUAGGAGACGGAGAGCGCGCAUCUCUUAUUUGAUCCACUUGUUGCAAAGAUCUGAACCAUCUGAUGAGGAGAAGAUGCCAAUGGACUGAAGGUCCUGGUUUUAGAGCAGCUUAUUCAAGAUUUACAAGUAAUACAUAGUUCACCAAAUACUCUAAGCACUCACAUAUUUAUGCGAUUUUAUGAUUCUACCCAUAAAUUUUGUACUUGGAAAAUAAGAAAGAUAUAAGAAGAAAAGACUCUCCUU